rnacentral:rRNA from 1 species
UACAGAGGGGGCGAGCGUUACUCGGAAUUACUGGGCGUAAAGGGCGCGUAGGCGGCCUUCUAAGUCGAACGUGAAAUCCCUGGGCUCAACCCAGGAACUGCGUCCGAUACUGGAAGGCUUGAAUCCGGGAGAGGGAUGCGGAAUUCCAGGUGUAGCGGUGAAAUGCGUAGAUAUCUGGAGGAACACCGGUGGCGAAGGCGGCAUCCUGGACCGGUAUUGACGCUGAGGCGCGAAAGCCAGGGGAGCAAACAGG